rnacentral:lncRNA from 1 species
AGUGCAGUGGUGCAACUUCUCCCUCCCAGAUUCAAGCAAUUCUCCUGCCUCAGCCUCCCGAAUAGCUGGGAUUACAGGUACGCACUUCCUGCUCACGAAGAGCUUACAGUCUGAUGCUUUGGUUCUUCAAAAAAAAUGCACACAAACUUUCAGACUCCCAAAAGCCCAUUAAUUCACAGGCUCAACAGAUCUGUGAAUCCCAGAUUAAGAACUCAACCCAGCGCAAAAACAAAAGGAGUCCACAGCAAGUUCUUAACAGGUAAAUAACUGCUGACAUUAAGAAAGACUUGAAACUAAAAUAUGCUGUUUGUUAGUCCAAUUAGGUGUGGCACCUUAUGUUCCAACCUGCAGCACAGCUGCUAGGACCUUGGUUCGAUUCCUGUCUUACUUAGAAAUGAAAGUAGAGGAACAACGACUUUUGAAACAAUGAACAGGGAAUUAAGAAGCAAGGGCAGAUUUCAGUUUUCAAUGGGUUCACUGAUUCCCUAAACAGAAGUGGAGUGACUCAUCGUUUUCCAUGCCUCACGCAAGAAGCGGGGGAGACGAGCACAAAGGGAGUUAAGGGUGGUCUGGUUUCUGUUUGUUGUUUAAGUUACCUCUGCAUCAUAUCUGACUGCAGCAGAGAACAGCGAAAAGGCAUUCUCCACAGUAAUUCCUCUCUUGAUAAUGUGCUGACAAAGUUUUUUCAGUCUGUUUUCACAGUAAGAUGUCGCCAAAUCCAGAAGACCUAAAAGUAAGAUAUGUGCAAGGUUUAAUCAAAUGUCUAAUAAUUUCCAAUACACAGAGAUUUUGUUUUGGUGAACAGAGGUGUACAGGUAAAUCAGAAGUUUCUUAGUGGAUAAGAUUC